UAUUCAAUGUGAAAUUUCAGUCUCCUGACUUCAUUUUAGUGGCAGCAUGACAGCAGUAAUAAUGCACAGGAUACUGACAAGUGAACAGGAAUGCAGACAGUGCUUCUUCAGAGUGGUAAAGGCGUUUUACACCAGCUCGGGGACCAGAUGAAAGUUUUGCUACCUACCUUCUUCAUAACGUGUGUUCAUGUCAGCCCGAAAAAUACAGCAUGCAAAAUGAAUGCCGCAUUUUCAUACGAUGGGCUGAGUCCGACAGAAUUCCAUAUUAUUACUGAACAGCCAAACUCAUCCAGAAGCAGAAGUGAGCCUUGAGCUUUUCCCAGUUUCAAUUUCUACCUUUCAAAUCUACUAAGCUUAUCACAGUACUUCACAGUAACACUAUCUACUUCCACCAGAGGGAUUUGCAGCUGACCUUUCUCCUACUUUCCAUUUUCGCUGAUGAAAAAGCAAAGAAAAACCCAACUCCAUUGUGUGAGAAAGAGAAGCAAAAAAAAAGGAUCUUUUGCAACAGCUUUUUUAUCUGUAAUUUGAUGUAUUUUCUUUUCGUGUAGUAAGAGAUGCUUUUAUUUUGAUAUAUAUAUUUGUAUGUUUAAUGAAAGUAAAACAAAAGUUUUCUUUCUUUUACAAAAGUAAAUUGCAGAUCUCCUGUGAGAUUUUCAGGGGAUCAGGUUCAGGAAUACAGCAACUCAACUCAGAUUUCACCUGUGCAUGUUUUGCCUGCUGAUUAGUAUUCACAGCGGGGAGAUCUCUGGACUGGUUUGGUUGUGGUUGUUGGUUGUUUUUUUUUUGCUGAUAUCACAUCUUUCAGUUGAGCAGAUUUCAUCUCCCCGAUUUUACACCCUAUUUACUCAUCUUUCCUACACAGCAAAUAUUUGAGUUUCUGCACGAAACUGUGAACCCAAUUCUCAAAAACCUACACCUGAGUGAGAUUACAUUAAGAGAGUUGAAGACUGAAAACACAAUUCUUUGGUCAGAAUUUCUCACAGCAAAAGUAACCAGUGUAGGUCAUUUAAAAAGCAAGAAGCAAAGAUAAAAUAAUUGCUGUUUUACUUUUCCGGAUUAUUUUUGUCUUUCAGAUUCGUUCAUCUAUCAGUGCAUUACUGUUUCCCAAAAGGCCGUUCAGCUGGAUACGACACCUUCUGAUUGCAGCAGUAAUUCUUGCUUUUAAUAACAUGCUUGUGAUUUUUGUUCCGACUAUUAAGGAUAUAUUUGGAUUUAUCGGUGCCUCUUCUGCCACCAUGCUGAUCUUCAUCCUCCCCUCUGCAUUCUACCUGCGGCUUGUUAAGAAGGAGCCUAUGAGGUCUCCUCAGAAGAUAGGGGCUCUAAUUUUUCUUAUAGUUGGCAUAAUCUUCAUGAUUGUGAGUAUGACUCUCAUUGUAAUGGACUGGAUUUACAAUCCCCCAAGUUCCCGACAUCACUAACCUGUGGAAAGAACCAAGUGCUUUUCAUACCAUAAUGUUUGUAUUAUGUGCUCUAAAGGACACCAACAUGGCACAGCUAUUCCUAGCUAGUAACUGCAAUAAGUUGAAGACAGUUUCUGGGUAGGAUACUAGAACCCAAUGGAGUCUAUGUCACAGGACAUUUAUUUAUGCAUUAGGAACCCAAGCUUAGCAUUUCUAGCCAGGCUGAAUAAAAUGUGUAAUGUGGGUGCUUUCUAUUUUCAAAACAAAUAUAAGAAUAACUGUGUAUGUAGUCCUUAACAGUCGUUUGGUCCCACCCUUUUUAACCUCUCCCAUUAUGUUCAUAACACAGUUCCUAGAGCACUGGAAAGGUAAUGGCCAGAAAACCAGCUAGUGCCUUGUUUUGCACAUGAAGCACAUAGGAGCAGCUGCCCAGCUCCUAGAGAAAAUGUAUGAUUUCUGUAGGGGAUCAGAAAAGCAACUUCUCCCCAUGGACUGGUCUAUCAGAAAGGUGACAGCUUUGGCAAGCCCAUGGACAAAGCCGAGCAUCAGACACAUUGCCCAUAUUUGUCACCCUCAAACACAUGAUGGCUGUUGUAUGGAAUAAAGCUCUCUCACACAGGAGCCCCUGUGCUGUGACUGAAGAACAUCUGACCACUCAUGUUUUGUUGUUAAAGAUGUCUCUGCUGGAACAUUAGGCACUUCUGGGGUGGGUUUUUUGGUUUUCUUAGCUUUUUUAAUUCUUGUCUGAGCUUGUAUCACUGAACAAGUUCCAUCCUCCAUAGAAGCUUGUCUUCCAUUCUCACGGGAAUUCAAGGAGGCCACACAGUGUGGGUGAGCACCCUAUGCAGUAUUGUUCAGCACUUGUCUGUUUGAUAAAUGUUCAGUGCAGGAAACUGUAAUUUGCUAUAUAUAUAAAUAUAUGUAUUUAUGUACAUAAUCCUUUGUUUUCUUCUAGUUAUAAAAAUAUUACGCUCUGGUACAUGAUUUCUGAUUUAUUUUUUUAAUUUUAUUUUAUAUGUCACUCUGUUUUCACAGCCACACACUUAGUAUUGUUUUGAAGAAAAUAUUUUGGAUUACUGGGUUUGCUAAAGGCUCGUUUUAUUCAGUAGCAUUUGAAAUAUACUUGCCACAAACCCUGGCCGUUACCUGUGUAAAAACAAAUUCAGACAUUUACUACUUAUGUUACAAUAAGUUUUCCUCUUGAGAAUUUUUAAUAUGUGCAUCAAAGUUCUGCAGUACCACUAUAAACCUAGAAUUUGGCUAAGUUGCUCUGUGGCUUUAUCACAGCUCAGCUAUGCAUAUGCCAGCAUUCAAAAGCAUGCAUAAUUAAGCUAUGCAAAGGAAAAGAUAUUACUGAUAAUCUCAAGAGUAUUGUGCUACGCAGCUGUUCAAGAGAAAAGAAUGUGAUGUUCAUGUUAUAAGGAUGCUUAAUUAGCAUCUAGUAGCCUCUAGACUGUAUUUUAUCAGAUCUGUGGGGAACUCUACACAUGCUUUCUGUACUAUUUUUCUCAAAGGAAAAGCAGUCAGAGAGGUGACAGGAGCUCAGUAGAAGACGGAAUGAGUGGGAAGGUGCAAUUGUUGGGUUUAACGUGUUUAGGAAAAUCCAGUCUCCUGUAAUUGGUGUUUCCAUUUUCCAACUUAAAAAUCUGCAUGCACGCAUUUGAUCUCUGAAAGCCAACAAAAGCUGCCUCUGUCCACUCUUCAGCUUCACAUAAAAUUGUCUCUCUGUGUGCGUCUCUCUGUGUGCAUGCCUGCUAAGUGUGGGUAGACAUACCAGUUGGCUGGAAAAGUGUAUCAGUUAUAUAUUCCAUGUCAACUGCUGUCCUUCUGAGCACUAUUUUACACUCACUUGAGUACUGCAUCAUUAAUACUCUAGGCCAUACCCCUUGUGAAUGCUGGCUGGCUUUGUUUUUUUUCUUUAAAGUUUCCCAUAUUUUGUUCAAUUUGAAGCAGACAAAUACCAAUAAUGUUCUGUUAGUACUGAAGAGCUUUGAUGUGAACUAAAGUUAAUAGUAGUAUGCCCAAACACCUCUCUUCUUGUUACAUUAGUGAGUUGCAUGUACGGAAGAACUGAAAUAUAACUGAGUUUCUGUUUCAGAGCAGUUACAUCUAUUGUCUGCAGCUGCAUAUGGAAACUUAGAAAUUCAUGUCUCACAUAAAAUGUAGAUGACCUCAAGAGAAGUAACCGAAAAACUAUGGAACAAUGGCUCUAGUCACUGGCUUUUAAUGACACAAAAAUAUUGGUGUCCAGCAUAAAGGUGGAAAGUCUGUAACAUGUCAGAUAUUCUAGUUAAUAAGCAUUGCUCACAGCAAUAUGCAGCUGUUAGUGGAAGUAAGGCUAGCAUUGCAAACUAACUUCUUAGCACUGCUGGAAAUGGAGGAUGUUGCAUUUUCUUGUUUGUCCUGUCAUGUUGACAAUGAGGAUUUUUAUUACAAAACUAUCCACUGAUGUACAAUAAAUGAAUUUUUCAAGGA